GUGCGGUAAGCCAAGCGAACCCGGAGACGCCGGCGGGGGCCCCGGGAAGAGUUCUCUUUUCUUUGUGAAGGCAGGGCGCCCUGGAAUGGGUUCACCCCGAGAUAGGGCCCGCGCCCUGGAAACGCGGUUCGGCGGCGUCCCGGUGAGCUCUCGCUGCCCUUGAAAAUCCGGGGGAGCAGGGUGUCAAAUCUCGCGCCGGGCCGUACCC
rnacentral:rRNA from 1 species